GGCGGACGGGUGAGUAAUGCGUAGGAAGCUACCCGAUAGAGGGGGAUACCAGUUGGAAACGACUGUUAAUACCGCAUAAUGUCUACGGACCAAAGUGUGGGACCUUCGGGCCACAUGCUAUCGGAUGCGCCUACGUGGGAUUAGCUAGUUGGUGGGGUAAUGGCUCACCAAGGCGACGAUCCCUAGCUGGUUUGAGAGGAUGAUCAGCCACACUGGAACUGAGACACGGUCCAGACUCCUACGGGAGGCAGCAGUGGGGAAUAUUGGACAAUGGGCGCAAGCCUGAUCCAGCCAUGCCGCGUGUGUGAAGAAGGCCUUCGGGUUGUAAAGCACUUUCAGUAGGGAGGAAGGGUGUUGUGUUAAUAGCACAGCAUUUUGACGUUACCUACAGAAGAAGCACCGGCUAACUCUGUGCCAGCAGCCGCGGUAAUACAGAGGGUGCAAGCGUUAAUCGGAAUUACUGGGCGUAAAGCGCACGUAGGCGGUUUUUUAAGUCAGAUGUGAAAGCCCCGGGCUCGACCUGGGAAUUGCAUUUGAAACUGGAAAACUAGAGUGUGUGAGAGGGGGGUAGAAUUCCAAGUGUAGCGGUGAAAUGCGUAGAGAUUUGGAGGAAUACCAGUGGCGAAGGCGGCCCCCUGGCACAACACUGACG
rnacentral:rRNA from 1 species